rnacentral:rRNA from 1 species
CGGGUGAGUAAUAUAUCGGAACGUGCCCUGGAGUGGGGGAUAACGCAGCGAAAGUUGCGCUAAUACCGCAUACGAUCUACGGAUGAAAGUGGGGGAUCCGCAAGGACCUCAUGCUCGUGGAGCGGCCGAUAUCUGAUUAGCUAGUUGGUAGGGUAAAAGCCUACCAAGGCAUCGAUCAGUAGCUGGUCUGAGAGGACGACCAGCCACACUGGAACUGAGACACGGUCCAGACUCCUACGGGAGGCAGCAGUGGGGAAUUUUGGACAAUGGGGGCAACCCUGAUCCAGCAAUGCCGCGUGAGUGAAGAAGGCCUUCGGGUUGUAAAGCUCUUUUGUCGGGGAAGAAACGGUUCAUCCUAAUACGAUGGACUAAUGACGGUACCCGAAGAAUAAGCACCGGCUAACUACGUGCCAGCAGCCGCGGUAAUACGUAGGGUGCAAGCGUUAAUCGGAAUUACUGGGCGUAAAGCGUGCGCAGGCGGUUAUGUAAGACAGAUGUGAAAUGCCCGGGCUCAACCUGGGAACUGCAUUUGUGACUGCAUGGCUAGAGUGUGUCAGAGGGGGGUAGAAUUCCACGUGUAGCAGUGAAAUGCGUA